rnacentral:piRNA from 1 species
UUGCAGAGAUUUCUAGGUUGUCUGGUA